AUUGAACGCUGGCGGCAGGCCUAACACAUGCAAGUCGAGCGAGCGGCGGACGGGUGAGUAAUGUAUGGGGCCUGCCUGAUGGAGGGGGAUAACUACUGGAAACGGUUGCUAAUACCGCAUACUAUCGGAUGACCCAUAUGGGUUUAGUUAGUAGGUGGGGUAAAGGCUCACCUAGGCGACGAUCUCUAGGUGGUCUGAGAGGAUGAACAGCCACAAUGGGAAUGAGAAACGGGCCAGACUCCUACGGAGGCAGGAGUGGGGAAAGUUGGACAAUGGGCGCAAGCCUGAGGAAGCCAAGCCGGGUGUAUGAAGAAGGCCUUGGGGUUGUAAAGUACGUUAAGCGGGGAGGGGGUACCCGCAGAAGAAGCACCGGCUAACUCCGUGCCAGCAGCCGCGGUAAUAC
rnacentral:rRNA from 1 species